CUCUAGAGGGAAGCACUUUCU
rnacentral:miRNA from 2 species